rnacentral:rRNA from 1 species
GAUGAACGCUGGCGGCGUGCCUAAUACAUGCAAGUCGAGCGAACAGACGAGGAGCUUGCUCCUCUGACGUUAGCGGCGGACGGUUGAGUAACACGUGGAUAACCUACCUAUAAGACUGGGAUAACUUCGGGAAACCGGAGCUAAUACCGGAUAACAUGUUGAACCGCAUGGUUCAACAGUGAAAGACGGUCUUGCUGUCACUUAUAGAUGGAUCCGCGCCGCAUUAGCUAGUUGGUAAGGUAACGGCUUACCAAGGCAACGAUGCGUAGCCGACCUGAGAGGGUGAUCGGCCACACUGGAACUGAGACACGGUCCAGACUCCUACGGGAGGCAGCAGUAGGGAAUCUUCCGCAAUGGGCGAAAGCCUGACGGAGCAACGCCGCGUGAGUGAUGAAGGUCUUCGGAUCGUAAAACUCUGUUAUUAGGGAAGAACAAAUGUGUAAGUAACUAUGCACGUCUUGACGGUACCUAAUCAGAAAGCCACGGCUAACUACGUG